UGUCUGCCCAGACUUACCUCAGUGAUGGAGUGUGACCUGAGAGUUCUAAGCUGAGGGGAAACUGAGGCUGAGAGAUGUCUGCUGCAAACACGUCUCCACCCACUAUGACCUGAGUGUGCCCCCGGGGCUCACUCUCCCCUGGCCUGCAGUGAUUUUUCUCUGGGUGUGCUGGAGAGUGGAGAUGGGAAAAGCUACAGUCUCUGAACCCAACUGAAACAGGCUGCCCUGCACUCUGGACAGACCGAUCCCUGGCAGUGGCAGGUGUAUGGAUCUGCAAGUGUGUGCAUGUACCUGAGCAUCCCACGGAGUGUGUGUGGGCUUGAGAGAAGGUACCCACCUUCUGUCAGCUAUCAGCUGACUUCACUUAAACAGCAGGGGAACAGAAGAGAGGAUGGGAAUGCUGGCUGGGACAUUCACAGACACCUUCCGAUCUGAGCUUCCAGGAUGCUUGGCCUCCAGUUCUAGGAAAGAUGGAGUCUGGGCACCAGUCAAGCAACCAUAGAGACACAAACCCAAGGCAGUCAGAGUCACAAUGACUGGGAGGAACAGCUGGGAAAUGGCUUCAGGGCCUGCCUGAGCCAGGAGCCACUGGCCCAAGAGGCUUCUUUAGGCCACAACUGAAACAUAGGAAAAGAUGGCCUCCUGAGAGCUAGCUGCAUUACUGUGAGUUCAAGGGAAGAACAGGAGAGAAGAGAUGAAGACAUCUAUCUACCAGAGUCUGGGGACAAGAGGGAGGAUGUCACUCUGGCUGGGGCCACAGAGCCUGUGGAAAGCUGACACAUCCCUCCCCGUUUCAGCCCUGCUCUUUAGAAUGUCAGAGGGGAAGUGUAAUUAAGGCCAUGCAGCUGUGAAGGAUUAGUAUUCCAACCUGGAAAGCCUGAGUUUUAAUUAGUAAUUAGGCCUUUUCUGCAGAGCCUGCAAACAAGCAGAGGUUUGGUGACCUUUCUUCUCCUGAAGGCACGGUGACAGCCUGGCUGACACGCUGAUACACCUAGGGGCUUUUUCAGAGAGGCCUGGACGAGGCACAAAAGCAGCCUUACUCUUCAUGGUGGGGCCGCCAGUAAGGGGCUCCUGCAGAUCCCUGCUCCCUACCUGGCUCCCAGAGCUUACAGCCAGCACCCCCAAACCCAUCUGGGCCCUGGAAAUGACAGGUCUGGUGGCUUCUUCAACAUGAGCCCAAGGUCACCACAUUUCCAUCAGGAGUCCCUGCAGAUGGGAAUCAGGAUGGGUCUGUGUCCAGAAGGCAAGUGAGCAGGACCUAGAGGAACAUGAGCCCUUCAGCUGGGCUCCUAGAAUCACAUGGCCCUUCUGCUCCGUCUUGGCUAUCUAUCACCAUGUACAAAAAAAAUCACCAGGCUUUUUCUGGCAGGCCUGACUCCCAACCUGUUCCCAAGAUGUUAGGAGAGGCCAUGAACCACAUGGGGUCUGUUGGCCAAGCCAUGACCAGGACCCAGGGCUACAGCUCCCAACUACUCUGCCCCAAGACAGGCCUCUGAACCCUCCUGUAGCUGCCUAGCCCCUGUUUGACCACAUUGCCCAGCCAUCAUCAUAAGGGACACACUUGCACCUAGGGUGUACUGGCCCACAUGGGCACAGAUGCCUUCACACCAUCCCAGGAAAGCACAAGCCCUGGGACACCACUCGGGUCUAACCUAUGCCUCUCAGGGGACUCAGCCAAGGGUCUCAUUAGCUCUUGUCCACUUUGUGGGGUCCUGUAGCUAUGACCAGCAUGUCACAGGACAUGGACACUUAUGAUGCUUCCAAGUGUCUGUAUGCACCUCUCAGAGAGAGGACAGACCUGUUUGAAUUCAACAUCAUGGUCACAUUAAGGUUUUUUUGAGGACCUCUGUGUUUGUAUGUGUCCCACUCAAAAGGCCAGUGGGGCAGGUGACUCUGAAGCAUUGCCCCUGGUGGGUUAUUUGUCAGCACAGCCUGGGCUGGCUGGAUGCAGGUUGUAAUAUCAUAGACAACACAAUACAGGUCUAUUCCUGUAGCUCAUCCUUGCUGCUCAUUCCCAGCAAAGAGCCCUUCCCUGAGACCCAUCAGGCUAGGCCCUGGGGGGACAGUAGGAGGGAGGAGCCCCCCCCCCCCCUUCACCAGAAUGAUGCAGUCUGCAGACUUCAUAGUAACUCAGAAGUGAGCUCUCCCUUCCAGCACCAUAUAAACUUUAAUUGGGCUUUUUAAAGGUCACGAAAACAAAUACUUUCUCAUAAAGAAACCAUUUGGGCACGCUCAAAAACGCACAGGUAACUGUUAGUGUGAGUUGAUUGUUCAUGCCAGGGAACAGACGUCUCUUGCACACAGGCAUAUCCGUACCUGGUGUACCCCACCUCUGGGCAUGGGGCUACUGUAACCAGCCAUGAGACUAAGGCUGGCACUGUGGGGUAGGCUGAGGUAGGAAGAGUACCUUGGGGCUGGAGCUUCACACAGCCCUUCACGUCUCCGCCCCUCACCUUCCUCUGUGUCACAGACUUGUUGGCCUUUCAACAUCUGAGACGCAUAUAUUCUCAGAUGGGGAAACUGAGGCCCAGUGGGGUUAAGUCAUUCAAAAAGUGACUAUACCCAGUCCAGUCUCUGUAACUCCCAAGUGCGAC
ensembl:lincRNA F730016J06Rik RIKEN cDNA F730016J06 gene